AUUAUUUACGCUCAUACAAAAAAAAAAAACAAAUUUCUGUUUUAGCAAAAAGUUGCAAAUUUAGUUCACGAACAGAAACUACAAACAAGAAUCAAAUUGUCAUGAGCAAAAUAUCUACAAGUUUUUGUAUAUUAUUAUUAGUAUAUUUUGUGAACGAAUGCAAUUGUGUGUUUAAAUGUUGAAUUUGUGAAUGACUAUCUUAUUAUUUGAUGAGGAUUUAUAUAUAUUUGAGCUAAAAUGUACCGAAGAAACACCUAUUAGCUUUUUUCUUUAUGUUCUUGUGAAUUUAUUUUCCUUGUGUUGAUAUUUGUUUUAAUCCGUGUUUACUUCAUAUGAAUUUCAGGUCGUUAUUAAACUCCGUGGAGGUACUACGUAUUUAAAAAGGACGCAUUGUUUAGAUGUAAUAAUUUUGUAGAGGGUUUAUUCCAUUUUAUGUACAAAUUACAUACUGGAGAUACAUAUUGAAUACUGAAAUAAUUAUUUCUCCUCACAUUGGCAUAAACUCUCUCUAAUUUUAUAUUGUUUGAUUCGCGUUAAUUUUUUUUCCUGUUUAUCAAAAAGUAUGGCAAGAUCGUGCCAUUUAUUGUAAAUUUAACUAAACCAAAAAAAAAAAAUCGAGAAAUUUGAAGUUCAUUAUUAAUGGAAUGUGUUAGGUUUUAUUUUUUUUAAUUUAUGAAUGUGACAUUUAGAUAGUACCUAAUAAAUACAUAAUUCCUAGACUAAUCUUUGUUUUUUGUGUUUUUUAAAAAGGGUUAAGAACAAGAGGUUUUGGAUGAAAUUGAAAUUUUCUCAAGUUGCGUUAAACACUUCAAUGUGAAGCUAGCUAAUGUCAAUGAAUUCAGCAAUGAAUAUAAAGAAUGAAAAAAUGAAAAUCAUCAAGAGAAUUGAGAAAAUUUUUUGCAACUCUCUUGAAGAAUGAAAUUGUUUUUGUCUUUAGAAGUCAUCUAUAUAUCAUGAAUUGCAUUGAAAACAAGAUCGUUCAAGUCCCCUUCAGACUAUUCUUACCAGACCGUUAGCCAAUAAUUGCCACAAUAAAAACUAUGAACACAUUAUACCGAAAAGAUUUUCCCGAAAACUAAUCCUAUCAGUUUCAACGUCCAAAAAAUCAGCAUAAAACUUAAGAAUGUUAUGUAACAAGAAAAAAUUAUUUGUCUAGCGCCUAAUGAGGUAGUCAACUUAUUUGAAUAUUGAAGUAGUAGACUUGAGAGGAUUUUUUAAGAAAAAAAAAAUGACAAAUAUGGGCAACUUUAAUGUUGAAGUAAAGUUUGGAACUAUAUGGAUACUAUACUAUACUUUAGAAGAUGAAAUUAUGGUAUACCAUGAAUGUAUUAUAUUAUGGGGGUAACUCGAUAAACUAAGAAAAAAUUAUGAAGAAAUGUCCAUUAUUUUGUAUCUGAUAUAGUAAAAUAAAAUAAUGUAUAAAUU